UUGGUUAGAACUCAGCUUAACCCGUCACCGCAAUGGUGGCGGAUCAAGGCCCGUCACGCCGGCAACGGGCCUUUCAAGGCAGAGCAUUUCUGCCCGGUCCCGACUAGGGGCCAAUGGACAUAACAGUCAAC
rfam:Pseudomonas pseudoalcaligenes KF707 = NBRC 110670 strain KF707 ctg10005, whole genome shotgun sequence.